AAACAAGUCAAUUAAUUUAUCAGUUAAAAAAUAGAAAAUCUUCACGGGUAUAAAAUUAUAAAAAAAAAAAAAAAUGUAAUAAUGUUUCGGAAACUUUUUAAAAGCUUUUUAUCGUUCGAAACAAUUACACGAGAGAUAAAAUGGGGUCGCUUAAAAAAAUAUUAAAAUCAGCAUUUGUAUUCGUUCGUGAGAGCAUCUAUGCCGGAAGCUAUCGACCGAGUGUACACAAGUGCCGGUAAAGUGCUAUAACAGUCGUCGACACUUCGAAAUUGCUGUGAUUUACGAGGGCUACGAUGAAGGGCGAACGAGAAGAGAGAAAAGGUAGCUUUCAACGGGGGGUCUUUUAUCUGUAAAGCUACAACGGAUAAUUAUUCUCCAGCGUGAACACCAAUGGAACGGGGUUGAAGAGAUAACUCGGGCCGAAGGAAACGAAGGAGAAGAAAGAGGACGAACGAGAGGUGGAAGGGGGUGCGGCUAGUAAUGAAUCUCUACUCCGCAGUAAGGCACCUCCUCAUUCUCUCUCUUUUACCCCUACUACCUUCUCACUGUAUCUCUAUCUCUGUUAGUGGCGGCGGUUUAACCCGAUUUUCAAGGGGACGAAGAUUUGCGUAAAAUCUUCCAAGCAUUUUGUGGCUUCCGAGGGGGGGUUUCACAUCAACGCGCCAAUCAUUCCCUUUCACCCUUAUUUUCGAGGGAGCUGUAAUCAACAGUGUAAGCUGUAAAUCUUCCUAAUGAUAAGCGCAAUGGAAUAAUUCUAUUCACGAUAAUUUUGUAAUAUUCUUCAAACAAAAAAUUAAAAAAUAUAUUAGCAUAAAGUGAUCGAAUGUCUACAAUUUAACGGCAACACUUUAACCCAGAAUGCACUAUCAUGUGAUCCUCGAUUAUAAUAUCAUCAAAAUAUAUCGAGUAAAACUAAAAGAUGUAUAAACACAUCGUUGGUAUUCCACUAACUCGAUUGACGGUGCACACGAAGCGACACCAAAGCGAUCGAAUGAGAGACGUGAGUUAAAAACUCGUGACUAUGGGAAGGCAAACUCACAGCAUGAAAGGUGAGUUGAUCGUCGUUUUCCCGACGACAACGUACGGAAAGUCUAAGACUUUCGAGACAGCCGAGAAGCGAGUUGCCGGCGAUCAUUGGAGAUUAGCCCGGAUCAGACGUUUCGUGGUUGAGGCGUCGUUGCAGACUGAAUACUCGUGAUUUGAAGUGCGCUUGCGCGACAAUGAGGGGCUACAGAGAGCGACGAGGAGGAGAAAGAGAUUGCAAGGGAUUGCACGUUAGUCCGGGCAGGCGCAAGAAUCACGAGCGGACAGUCGCGAGACCGCGGACUACCACCACCGUCUCGUCUCUUUUCUCAUCUACUCUCGCCCGUCUCUCGUUUCACGUUGAUGUGUAGUUCGCGUUGCAACGACGAAGAUAGGGAUGCCUUCCCCACCUCGAGAGUCGUCCGGGCUUCUCCACCACCACCAUCACCACCACCAGCAAUACCGCCACAACCAGCAGCAUCAGCUCCAUCGCCAUCUCCUUCACCGUGACUACCACCACCACGCAUCGCUUGUCGUUGGUAGCGAAUAGAGAGCGGAUUCUUUCCUCCUCCCGGGACUUAUUGAUCGGCCGCGCGAUAAGAAGACACGAAAGGCCGAUUGGUCCCUUUUCCGGACAUCUCGCAGGGUGCGCGUUUCCUUCUUCUAUCACAAUUCCGAGCUAUCCUCGACAUGUUAUCAAGAGCAAAAGCGAUAAGCGUCACAGGAGCAGAUCAAAAGGAUCCUUUCAAUUUUCCUUUGAUAGACAGAAUGGAAAACGCGCGGUCGUUCGCCAGAUAUCUAUACACGUAUACAUGUAUACAUAUAUAUAUAUAUAUAUAUAUACUCUCAAAUAAUAGAUACAACUUCAAUUUGCAAUUUUCACACUAACUCUAUUAAAUAAAAAGCUCUAAGGAUUUA